rnacentral:lncRNA from 1 species
GAAUUCUGGAGAAGUGAUAGGACUGUUGCUUCUUCUGACAGACAGUAAAGCAGGAGGUUGAGUUUUGUCUAGUUUCCUAGGGUGGACCUAGUGAACUAGCUAUUCUCUCUCCUGUGGAUUCCUUGUGAUCUAUCUUACCAACCAACUGUUCCUGUGUAUCCUGUUGAUGCUGAGAGAUAUUCCUACAGAGCUGCUGGAGACACCUAAAGCCAUCUGUCAUGACUCUACAGACCAAGCAGUCAUCCAUAUAAACCACCAGUUCAAUUCAACAAGCAUUUCUCAAAUGUCUUCUGUGGGUAAGACUCUUCUGCUAGGCACCGCCAAAGACUGCCUACUCUACAGGACCUUACAUUCCACUGGUGGUAGAUAACAGGCAUCAAUGAUCAUCAUAACUUGGAAUCCAUUCUCUUGUCAUUGCUUGUGUAGAGAUAGUAUUUGAGGCUACAGGGAAAAAAGAACCCAAACAAAAUAUACCCAAAUAUAACAGGUAGAAAAUAACAACAGAAUGUUAACAGAACAAUGCCAAGAGAAGCUGUCCUAAGAGGUGUUGCUUCCCUGUUUCCCUGAUUUUUUUUUUUUUGCAUCUGUUUGCAACAGGAAAUCAAGAGACCAUCUCUGGGGAUCUGAAACUAGAUGAGAGCCACAUGGUGAGGAAUCUUAAUGCUGAGCACAUCACUCUCCAUAUGACUCAGCAAAUGACCUGAGUGUCCUCUCAGAAGAGAAAGCUGAGAAUUCUUGUCAAGAAGAAUUACAAUCAAUUGGAAAAAAAAUAGCUAUCUUAAAAGCUAUGAAUGAUUCUGAUAACCAAGAAUAUAAGAAAGAAGCCAGCGGCAGGGGACAGAUUGUUUCACUGAUGCCAAUCUCAAAUGGUUAGGGAUAUAUCAUAAAUAGCUCUAAUUUCCAUUAUUAAUCCUAAGAGAUAAUUAUUUCCCGUUUGCUAGAGAAUUACUUCAUGAUCUUAGACACAUCAAUUUCUUUAGGCUUCAGAUUGCUCAUCUGUAAAAAUAGAGAGAAGAUCCAAAUUAGAUCCAAAAAAAGCUUUAAAAUUCCCCCAUCUACUAGCAGAUCUACUUUCAUUCAACUCAAGUUUCCAAAACAUUAAAAAAUGUUUUUAAAUAAAUAAAAUAUUUGUUCAUUUUUAUCUAUCA